AGAGUUUGAUUAUGGCUCAGGAUGAACGCUGGCGGCGUGCCUAACACAUGCAAGUCGAACGGAGUUAAAGCGGAGCUUGCUUUGCUUUAACUUAGUGGCGGACGGGCGAGUAACGCGUGGGUAACCUGCCUCAUACAGGGGGAUAGCAGUUGGAAACGACUGAUAAUACCGCAUAAGCGCACAGCUCCGCAUGGAGCAGUGUGAAAAACUCCGGUGGUAUAGGAUGGUCCCGCGUCUGAUUAGCUAGUUGGUGAGGUAACGGCCCACCAAGGCGACGAUCAGUAGCCGGCCUGAGAGGGUGUACGGCCACAUUGGGACUGAGACACGGCCCAAACUCCUACGGGAGGCAGCAGUGGGGAAUAUUGGACAAUGGGGGAAACCCUGAUCCAGCGAACCGCCGCGUGAACGAAGAAGUAUCUCGGUAUGUAAAGUUCUAUCAGCAGGGAAGAUAAUGACGGUACCUGACUAAGAAGCACCGGCUAAAUACGUGCCAGCAGCUGC
rnacentral:rRNA from 1 species